CAUCGUAAACCUCUGUAGAGGGAGACAAACUUCGAGUUACUACUCGAUUGAUGGUACCCCUAAAGUAAGGAUCGGCUAACUACGUGC
rnacentral:rRNA from 1 species